UAUUACAGCGCCUCCACCCCCACGCUGGCAGAAUUCUUGCCAGCGUGGGGGCGCAUAGAGGCCCAUGCGGAAAGGGCCUUAGUUAGCUCCUUUGCUGGUGGGCAGCAAUUUGGAUCUAGGUCACCUUUUGGGUUCAUUGAGGCUUCUCGAUGGUAGGGAGACUUUUGAGAUUUAUGAGCCUCCCCACACCACUUGGAAGCCUCUAUAGGAGUGGCAGGAUGGUGCCACAUUGGCACUGUGGCCCACUGCCUUCCAUUUGGAUGGGGCUGCCGAUUUAGCCCAUUAUACACAUGAAGACUUCUAAAAUGUAUCAAUGUAAUAGCUGUAGUCUUGUUUCUAUUUAUAUAAAACAUCAACCCAAAUUUUAGAAAAAUAUUUCUUGGCCAAAAUUGGCCCUGGAUACAUGAGCUGGCCUACAUAAAAAGACAAUACUAGUAGUAUUAUUGUUUUACUUAUAUAUCUCACAAUUUUUGAAAUGACUAACCUUAAGACUCAGUGGGAUUUGUGUUUCUCAUUUCGUAAUGCUACAUGACAGACCACUUUUGAAAAAAUAGAAUAGUUUCAAAAGCAGAUUAUGAGGUAGCAGGUUUUGGGGUUUUUUCCUUGUUCAAAUAAGCAAAUCUGUAAAAUAACCCAUACUACUAUAUUAUUGCUAUCAUGUAAUGUGGUAUCCUUUAUUCAGAUAGUCAUGUCGUACAGAAAAAUCUGUUCAAACUAUUCAGCUGAUAAUUUCACUUCUUUCUUGUAUGGAACAUGGGGAAAACAUGAGGAGUAGCAUUUUUUGUGAUCUUAUUUUCAUCCUUUAUCAUGUUCCUUUCCAUCCUUAUUCUUUAGCCUGUUAUUUAAUGAAAGGAAAUGGCCACUGGUGGUGGUACUACUGAUAAAGAUGUGACUUCAUGCAAGCUUCGCACUAAGCCAGCAUUCUUCCCUCCCACCCUAAAGUACAAUAUAGCUUUACAGAUGGAAGAUAAUGUUCCACACCAGUUCUGUUGUCCACCUUCUGGGUCUAUUAGUCCAUCUUCAAGAUAACAGAGAAGUUUUGAGUCGCUAUUCUGUGCAGUCAGAGUACUACAUCUGUACAUUCCACUUCCUCUUCUUUCUCUGACUGGUGUGUAUGGAACUGACACUAAUUUGCAUGGAUACAGUAAAGGUUCUGGUUUAUGUCAAAUUCAAAACUACUCAGAAUGUUAUAUAACUGACUGGUAAUUUCCACUCUGCAUUUUCUACUUCAUGUUUGCACAACUCUCCUGUUCUCGCUCUGUCUCUCUUUUCUUGUGUGAUCUUAACAAAUAUGAAAUGUAAACUUGACAUGUAAAAUUCACAUAUUUUGAACUAAAAUAAAAAGUGUUACCAACCUGCA